rnacentral:rRNA from 1 species
AUUGAACGCUGGCGGCAUGCCUUACACAUGCAAGUCGAACGGCAGCGCGGGAGCAAUCCUGGCGGCGAGUGGCGAACGGGUGAGUAAUAUAUCGGAACGUGCCCAGUAGUGGGGGAUAGCCCGGCGAAAGCCGGAUUAAUACCGCAUGAGACCUGAGGGUGAAAGCGGGGGAUCGCAAGACCUCGCGCUAUUGGAGCGGCCGAUAUCAGAUUAGCUAGUUGGUGGGGUAAAGGCCUACCAAGGCAACGAUCUGUAGUUGGUCUGAGAGGACGACCAGCCACACUGGGACUGAGACACGGCCCAGACUCCUACGGGAGGCAGCAGUGGGGAAUUUUGGACAAUGGGCGCAAGCCUGAUCCAGCAAUGCCGCGUGCAGGAAGAAGGCCUCGGUUGUA